GCUUUAUGAACCAAACACACAACACAGCAUUUUUAGCACUGCGCACUUCUAUACUGUUCGUCUACCGUUCAGAUACAACAAUACUUUAAAGGAAUGAACAAUUCAACAUUGAGCCAAAACAUCUAUUCGCCCAUCAUCGCCUGUCUUUCUCUAGCUUUAUUGAUGUCUGUAGUCAUAAAUGUCUACUGGAUUUGUAUGAAAAGAAACCGAGAGCUUGGUCAGCAAUGUUACAAUUUGGUGACUUGCAUCAGCACUCGCCGCACAAUGCAACCGAAUAAACAAACAGAAGCGCAGACUGAAGCUGAAAAUGACGUACAGUAUGCUGCAAUUGAUUUCUUAAAGCGCAAAGAAAAAACUGAAAGGAAAAAGACUGAACCAGGAGAAAUGUUGGGUUCUGGUGUGGAAAAUUUUGGUUGGCAGUGAUAUUCUCCCCUCUAUCAUCUCUUUACGAAAGUGUUUUUUAAUGUACAAUAUUUAUCAUUAUAUUUACAAACAGCAUACACAUCUGUGUAAUACAUUUUACAAUUUAACCAGUUUUUUAAUCCUCUGGGUUUCUGAGGAAGUUUUGGGGCCCUGAAGACGUUUUGAUCUGCCCUGCCAUGUGAAAUGUGUAUGUACUGUAAGUAGCAUCUGUGUACUGCAUAUAUACAUUUGUGUUAUGGAAAAAUUAGCAGCUAUAUGUGGUUAUUGUAAAGAAAAUUAAGUAGUUGAAAUAAUGCCACAAAGUGCAUUCAAAAAGACCACAACAGUCUACAAGACUUUUAUUAACUGGAUCUUGUAACCUAAAGCUUUUGCUUAAAAAUGAUGUAAAAAUCCUCCUGCUCACUUAUUUACCCCAAAACAAUAGAUUUAAAUUUUCUUUUUUUGUUUAGAGAGGCCAUAUGUGAGGAUCCAUCAAUGACCACUAAUAAUGCACAAGAGAAGACAAAUGAGCUGCAUAAUGAGCCUUUCAGUCAGAUAUGCGUUAAGUCAAAUUAUAAUAAGCAAUCCACUGCAGGUCAUGCAACUCUCUUUCAUGGCAAUGCAAAAGCAAAAUAUUUUGGAUAAUUUUAUUAUAUAAUACUUUAACUAUACCUUUAUUUUUUCACACUUUUCUGCAAUACAGUCAUUAAAGGCUUUUUUGAUUAAUGCAAAAAGUUUUUUUUGUUUAAUUAUAUUUU